rnacentral:misc_RNA from 1 species
UUUGUUUUUUAAUAAAAACUAGAAUGAAAGGUUAUMCAUUCAAAUUUCUUUAUUAAUUUUUAAUAAAUAAUUUAUAUUAAAUAUAAAAAUAUAUUUAUGAAAAAAAAAGACGACAAGACCCUAUUAAAUUUUACUUAUAGUUUAGCUGGGGAAGCUUUUCAAUUAAAAUUUUUUAAAAUCUUAAAAUAAAUAUCUAAUUUAAAUUAAAAUUUAAAUAAAUUACUAUAGGGAUAACAGCAUUAUAUUUUUUAAAAGUUCAUAUUAAAAAAAAUGAUUGUGACCUCGAUGUUGAAUUAUAUUUUCUAUAUUUAAUGCAAUAAUUAUAAAAGUAGAUCUGUUCGAUCUUUAAAAUAUUACAUGAUUUGAGUUCAAACCGGUGUAAACCAGGUUGGUUUCUAUCUUUUUAUAUAUUUUUCCAGUACGAAAGGACAAAAAAAUUUUUAUUUUAAUAAAUUAGCAAAUAUAAUGCAUUAGAUUUAGAAUCUAAAUAUAUUUAAAUU